UUUUACAAAGCAAGACACUGAAAAUGUCUAGAUGGGCAUUAUUGCCCCAUCAACA
rnacentral:tRNA from 1 species